GUUAUGCUGUUACUCCUCUCAGUUCCAGACAGGACAGGUUAUGCUGUUACUCCUCUCCUCUCAGUUCCAGACAGGACAGGUUAUACUGUUACUCCUCUCAGUUCCAGACAGGACAGGUUAUACUGUUACUCCUCUCUGUUCCAGACAGGACAGGUUAUUCUGUUACUCCUCUCAGUUCCAGACAGGACAGCUUAUACUGUUACUCCUCUCAGUUCCAGACAGGACAGGUUAUGCUGUUUCUCCUCUCAGUUCCAGGCAGGUUAUACUGUUACUCCUCUCAGUUCCAGACAGGACAGGUUAUACUGUUCCUCUAUCCAGACAGGGCAGGUCGCUGGGAAUAUUGAAAACAACAACAAACAGCAGGAAUCUAGACAGCCUGUCUGGGUAGAAAUUUGACAAAGUGGUUAAUGUUAUGUGUGAUGAUUGUGAGGUGCUAAAUACAUUUGACAGCUGACAAGACACGGACUUCAAUUAGGCCUAUGGUAAGUCAAGGGUACUGUAGCUUGCUGUUCAGAUGAGUUAAAUAUUAACUGAAAUCUAGACACUGAUUGUGUGUCACCAAAUGUAGACAACAUUUUAACUCUGGAACAGGAGUGGAGAUAUGGUUUCUUUCAGUAUCUUGAUAGAAUGUGAACGGUGCUGUCUUUAUCAGCAUCAUAACAGCUGAUAGUAUUUCAACCACAGUUAGGGACCGUCUGUAAAGGUGCUGUCUUUAUCAGCAUCAUAACAGCUGAUACUAAUUCAACUACAUAAAAUAUGCAUCCAAGCCGAACUGAACUCUUAUCAGAAACAUGUUGGGUCAUUUUCAAAGCUUUUUAUUUCCUUACAACCCGGUCGAAGUGAUGUCAUUUGGAAAUUCUGCACAGAAAAUAUUUCUCAUUUUUAUUUUGUUAUUGCAUUUUCUCCCCUGUCUGUAAAGGUCUUCUCGCCAUGAAAGAAGCAGAGAUGACAGAAGCGUUCAUUCUAUCGAUUUAUAACAUUAUUCUGGUGAACAAUGGUUGAUUUAGUUACUACGGCAACAUGUAAUGACAGACGAGAAGCUACAUGUAUCUAAUUAUAGACAAGUUGACUAACAAAAUUCUAAGCAGAAACACAUCGAAAUCAGGAUAAAACAAUACUGUGCCCCUUGUCAAAAAACAUCCACAGUCCCUGACUGUAGCCUACAGUACAUUUUCUAUAUUUUAGGGUUGGGUGCGGCCUCACAUUUUCACUUUAUCACAUCUAGUCUGGCAGUUGCUGACCCGUGCACCACUAGUGGUCGGUUACCCUUACGGCCAUCCAGUACGCUCAAACUAGUUGUGGUUAGUAGCCUAUGGACCAGCCAGCUGUAUUUGGUCCUUCCAGUUGUCCAUGACGGAUAGCUAGAAGAGG
rnacentral:lncRNA from 13 species